AAAUUGAAGAGUUUGAUCAUGGCUCAGAUUGAACGCUGGCGGCAGGCCUAACACAUGCAAGUCGAACGGUAACAGGAAACAGCUUGCUGUUUCGCUGACGAGUGGCGGACGGGUGAGUAAUGUCUGGGAAACUGCCUGAUGGAGGGGGAUAACUACUGGAAACGGUAGCUAAUACCGCAUAACGUCGCAAGACCAAAGAGGGGGACCUUCGGGCCUCUUGCCAUCGGAUGUGCCCAGAUGGGAUUAGCUUGUUGGUGGGGUAACGGCUCACCAAGGCGACGAUCCCUAGCUGGUCUGAGAGGAUGACCAGCCACACUGGAACUGAGACACGGUCCAGACUCCUACGGGAGGCAGCAGUGGGGAAUAUUGCACAAUGGGCGCAAGCCUGAUGCAGCCAUGCCGCGUGUAUGAAGAAGGCCUUCGGGUUGUAAAGUACUUUCAGCGGGGAGGAAGGGAGUAAAGUUAAUACCUUUGCUCAUUGACGUUAC
rnacentral:rRNA from 1 species